UACUCUCACACUUCCGAUCGUUUGGAUCGGGAGCGGUGGACUUGGGUGUUGCUGCUUUACUGUGGCUCACCUUAAAUGCAGUAGUGCACCUUUCGGUUGGACAUAGUACAGCGUGAUAGUAUCUUCGCUGGCACCUCUUCAGGGUGGCUGAUCAGAGCUCUGUGCUUCAAACCGUCUUCGGACAAUGACUGACA
rnacentral:misc_RNA from 1 species